GAGCUUUCCUUUCCUCCUGAUGGGCCUGUGAGGGAGGGAAGGAGGAUGCUGGCUAAACAGAAGCAUUUCCUUUUUUGUGCUGUUGGCAUUAAAAUGCAGGUUUGUCUGUUUUGGUCCUAAGCAGGUCCAGUGAAUCACUUGUGAAGUAGAUCCAAAGUCCUGGGACCUCACUGUGCUGCAGCUGCCAAGAUACACAUGGUGGAGUCCCGUAUGGAUUCCUCUCCAGGAAUACCCUGCACUGGUCUAGCUGGACAAAAAGCUUUUGCAGAUUUCUGUGGGCUACUCUUUUACUUUCACUGACUUUUACAAGUGGGAGGACAGGAGCCAGCUGGAGUUCCUGGUGUCCCUCAAAGUUGAGGUGUGUCCUUUUUUUUAUGGAAAUGAAGCAAAUAGCCUUUUAAUGGCUUUUGUUCAGUUAUAUGCAACUUGCUCUGCUAAAGGGUGAUAAAAGGUCCCCUUUUUCAUGAACAAACACAACUGGAAGAAGUCACUCAGAUUGUCAAGUAAAUUUUAUUCUCCUCUCUGAAGGCAACAGGAGGGCCCCUAGAAUUAAGACAAAUGUAGCUCAUGUCCUUUUAAUAGUGAUUUGAUUAUUCUUUCAUUACAAGUAACUAGUUCCCUUUUCUAAUUAUAUGUCUUGCUUUUAUCUAAGAAAAAUUACCCAGUUUAUGGGAGUGGACCAUUAAAAUUGCUCGUCCAUUAACAGUUUAUUGUAGUGCUAUGAGAUUGCUGGUUUCAGAAAACAUCUGCAUUGCAAUAGCCUGGUAUAGAUUUUUGGUUCUUCUGCCGUUUUGCCAAUGGUCAUCAUUGACAAAUGAGAAAUAGGCAGUGAGGAUGGAUGUGCAAGGCAAAAAUGAUAUGAGAGGUCAGAGAGCACUAACACUGCACACAUUUAGUGUGCCUUUUAGUGAAUGAGAAGUAUUGGAAGGGAAAGGGGCACUAGGGAAUAAGACCAAAAUGCAUGAAGAUGCACUGGUACUUGGAAAGGCUUCAGGUUUCGUAAAGGUUUAGUGAAUUCAGGGAGAGCUCUGUCUGUGUUUGACCUCUACACUUCUUGUUUUUUCUCUCUUCUUCUCUUUCCUCUGCAAUUGCUGUAAGAGCAUGUUAUUCAAAUGGGAGAAGGGGCAUCAGUCAGCCAGGUGACACAGCAGGACAGGAGAGGGGGCAUUGGAGUUGUAGUUGGGAGCAUGAUUUGAGAAAGCCUUGGGUCUUGCAGACAAGUCACUGCAGGCAGGUUACUGCAGGCCAUUCCUGUUGGUUUUGUGAUGGGCUAGGGAUGCCAGCAGGCAAAGAUGGUGCAGAGAGGUAAUAUCUCAUACUGUAUCAAUUAACAGUUUGAAAAAUAGACAAGCAUUUGAUCUGAAUGUACUAGUAUUGUUUCUCUGUAUAAUCUAAAUGUACUUUUUUGUUCUGUGUCAUAUAAUAUUAAGACUGAUGGAUGUCUGAAGGUCAAGCAUUCAUCUAUACAGGUAAACUGACUGGUAAAGGAAUUGUGAAUAGAUAGUUAUACCUGUAAACUAUAAGUAAACAGGUAAUUCCUUACAUGGAAACUCCAUUCUAUAAAGAAAGCCACUUUUAUUCUGAAAUACAGUGCAUGCUAGGGAAGCAAUAAAAACAAACUAUGAUUAUCAGACUAUUCCCAGUGUAGAACAGCCAUAAGAAUAAAGUAAGGCAAGGGAGAAGACAAAAAAGAUACUGAUGGAAAGAAGGCAGUCAAGUGGUUAAGUAGAGAUACCUGUGGCAAGAUGUACUAUAACUAUCCUUUCUCAUCUGAAUUUUACAGACUGAAAUUAAUUGUGUGGUAGCCCUCAGAAAUUUGUUCAAAGGUGAGAUAUUUUGGUAUGGAAAAGUUCAUGCUCUUCCAUCAGCAUAAUGUGGCAAUAGGAUGUGUAUGUAUUGAAUUUUUCCAUACGAUUUCUAAUGACAAGGUUCUUGAUUAUGAGUUUAAUUGGCACUCAGCACUGUCUUCCAUAUACAAAAAUCAGAAGUCUGUGGACUGUGAAAAACACGUAUUAAAUGUCUCACUGCUUAUGAUUUUCUAUCUGGUACACUAUUAAUAGUGAUUUAUAUGUAGAAUAAAAUAAUUAUUUAGUGGAAGAUGGGCAUAGCAUAUGCAUAUAUAUAUUUUAGGCUGAAAUGCCCUUUGACAAGCCAAGAACAGGGCACUAUUCAUACAUCUUUAGUAAGUGAAUUAAUUUUGGCAGUUAACAUACUGCAUCUUUGCUUUACUGAAAUAUUUUAUCACUGUUGUACUUGUCUGCCAUCAUUAUAGGCAAACUACUUAAUGAUGGCCUGUGGUAAUGCAAAUUAUAUCACUUAAUUACUUGCAUUAAUGUUGUGGGAAGUUUCAGGUACGCAGGGUGAAUGUCCAUGGAGCUACAAGAAAGGAAAAAAGCUUCAGACAAGGGAAAGAAGUGGCUGAGUGUGGGGUUGCCUCCUGCAUUGGUGGGUUGAGCUUACCAGUGGGAGGUUUUGCCUUCCAGAAAAACCAGAGGAGAGAUGCAACCUCCCUUUUCCUAUUUUCAUGUUCUACUGUGUAUGAGGGAGCAGAGAUUUCUGUUGAGGUGAGAAGCUAUGCUUGGAACAUGGAGAGCAUGGUAACAUGCUGAUGUUGGCAGAUGAAGCCACUUCUGCAGCAGGAGUUACACGUCUGAGCAGGGAGAUUCAGAUGUGGUCCUGAUCCAUGGCUGAGUACAUGAGGAGUUCAGUCUGAAGGUGCUAGAUGUUCACAGUGUUAAACAUUGAUGCUGGGAGGAGUUUUCACAUCUAAUUUCCAUGUGUUUGAACACUGGAGACUUCCAGAUAGAGCACACAGAACAGCUGUAAGCAAAUGCCAGUAUUUAUUUAAUUCUGCUCCUUUAUGGCGUUCAUCAAAGUGUUGUUUGUGUAACCUUCAGUAAAGUGUAUGUGAAUGUUAUGUAGUUAGCAUUGCUCCUCUUCUUAAAAACAGGCAUUUCUAUGAAUUGGCCUUAUUUCCUUUUUAAAUACAAUGUUUCUAUACAUAUUUACCUGAGCUUAAAAGCUAUGCAUGGGUCAUUAAAAUAAUAAGAUAAUUAAGGUGAAAAUUUUGGAAAUAUAAGGGGAAAUAUAACAUAAAAUGUUAUAUUAAAUGUAUCAGAUAUUUCUUAGGGUUUUUUUUCUAUUGUCACAGAUUACCACCUUUGUUAGCUAUUUCAUUAAAAUGUUUUCCAGGAGGAAUGGUAUCUUACUUUCCUGGAUGUGAUAUUGAAGGAGUACUGGUUGACCAGCUUGCUUUAUUGUACCCAUGUUACUGUCAUCACAGCUAGCUACACCUCUGUGGACUCUUUAUUUUCUCAUAUAUCUGCAAUGGGAGACUUGGUACUGGACACUGCUUGCAAGGUGAGACUAUUGAUUUAAACAGUGGUUUAAUGCUUUCAGGACUUUUCUCAGUACAAUUCUUUCUGAUAUUCUGUCAGCUUUAUAAAAUGACACUGAAUAUUGUGCACAUGUCUUACUUUGCUGACCAAGUCAAUACUUAAAUCAUUUUGUCCUAGACUAUAUUUGAUAACAUGGCAUUUCUUCUGUUUUGUGUUGUCCAUUCAACCAGCAUUUGUUAGGUCUGUAUGAAGGUUUUCCACAACCUUGUCUCAGAGUUCUGUUUUGACUGUCAGAUAACAUUGUGUCACUUGUAAACUUGCCCUGUUCACACCCUUUUCCAUACCCUUAAUCAAGACAUUCAGCAGUAGCUUACAUCUUUAGGCACCAUGCAGUUUAACCUGAGUGAAAAGUAAAGCCUGUAUUCCCACGUUUUGGCUUGUAUCAGUGACCAUAGCACAACUUGAUGCAUCUGAGAAGGUGGACAAAUAAAUCUUGCCCCGUAGACUUCAGCAUAGUUUGAAGUUUGAACCAGUUUGGAUAAGAAAAAAAUAUGCUGUGAGCAGCUGUGGUGGCAUCAGAGUCUCAAAGUCUCCAAGAAACCUGUAGGAGUUGAAAGAGCGGAGCCCACAGAUGAGUGUUUCCUGCAGCCUCAGAGCCAAGCACUUGUUGUGUGGGUCAGAGCACCCCAGGCUGCCCCGGCUAGCUGCUGACCCUGUGGGUGGGCAGAGGAAAGGGGGCUGUGCUGGGCUCUCUGCGAGUGGCUGAGGCUGUGCCCUGCAGACUCCAUUGCUCUGUGUUUUUUCCUCUCCUUCCAUCAGUCUUUGUAGUCAUUACUGGAGAGAUGUAUUUCUGUGCACAGCUUGUCAGUCAGCAUGCAGGAGGGAGUGCGGAAGUCCACAAUCCCUGGAAACUUUGCUUUCUUUGCUGUUAUAUUCCCAAAGCUUCGACAUAGGAAUACUUAGUUCCUGGCAACUUUUACAUUCCCGAAUGAUUGCCUGGCUCCAACUCAGCCAUGGGCUUUGCACUCUUCUCAUGUUGCUGAAUUAUUGAUGCUGCUUCAUUGCAAAAGAGCUCCUUAAUGCCCAUGUUGCAGCACGGGAGCCUGAUGUGAGACAUUCCCUUCUGUAGUUCAUCUCAUCCCUCAGACACACAUAGGCAACUUGCAGAGGGAAUAGGUUGGGGUGAAGGAGGAGAGAAUAUAUGAGCAGAUGGGGAAAAAUGGGAUCAAAUAUCAAAACACCAGGAUAGGAGCCACAGCUGAGAAAUGGGAACAAAAAGACGUGUUUCAUUAGCUGGAAGGAGAUGGCUAUGUCUAGUCCAAUUUGGCAAGGAAGAUCCACAUCAGUUUUCCACAUUUUGCUAUGGCAGCUUCUGAGGGAGUUGUUCCUGCAGGCCUGUCUCCCCUCUCAGGUUUGCCUUUAAUUAUGAACAGCAGAAGUAUGCUGGGGGAAGGCAGUGCAGGGGAUGUUGGAAGGCUCUGUGCUUGUUCACUGAAGCAUGAGAACAAAUUCUGUGCACAUUUCAAGGCAGGAGCAUGUCUGGUUGCCUAUAUCUGCCUCACAUUCUACCUUACAAUUCACUCAUGCUGCUUGUGCAAGUGCAGCCUAAACCCAAAUGCUAGUCCAUUUGUAUCUACUUGCUUCCUUCCACCAAAACAGCCUCAAUACCUCUUGAGCCUAAAUUUGUCUUUGUUCAACAAAAAAAAAAAUAUCCCCAGUUCCUUAGAAUAUCCCAGCAAGAUCCUCAUAAGACUUUUAGUACUAGCACAAUAACUUUUUUACUGGUGAAAGUAACUCAUACUUCUUGGCAUCAAACUGCUUUUUCAGCCCUGCAUCACCUUAAUAAGGAUGAUUGUGCUUAUGUGAAAAUAUAAGGUGUUCCUAGUUGGCUGCUAAAUUAUGGGGCUUCUAAGUUUUUAGCAGAAAUUCUGGUGUUAAUCCCUAAAUACAUGAUUUUAUACUCUAUGAUCUUCAGUUUUAGUCUGUUUUACUCUUAGCCUACCUGUGCAAUACUCUGAUCUUCCUCUGCACUGACCCAGCCUUUGAAUCUUGUGAUAUGCUCGUUUCAUUAGCAUGUUUUAAUUUUCUUUUGCCAAGGUUGUUAAUGAAAGUAUUAAAUAAGAUCAGUUCCAAGGUCCCAAGCUUGAAGAAGCUUUAAUUGGAUGUGCAGGGUACAUUUUGUAGAUAAACAAAAGACACAGCAGAGAUCCUUAUGGGAGCAAAUCAGCCUAAUCCUGAUGUCUUCUGUAGAGCUAUUCUGCUUAUUCAGAGGAUGCUGCUUCAUUUCAGUCAUUUGUCCUGCACACAGAUAGCAAAACAGCCCCCUAUCCUGUGGCCUGGGUAGCUUUAGAAGGACUAUGAAAUAUGAUUUGGAUGAAUCAUGAUUGAAUGGACAGCACUGAUGUUGAGGUGGAAGUAGUGCAAGAAGAAAUACUCUUGCAGCAACUUUGUAAGGGAAAAAUAAGCAAGAGGGUAUUGUGUAGAUGUGGGAAAAGGUAGAGGAUACACACCCUGAGUAGGCAGAAGAGGAGCCUCACAGAAAUGCUAUACAUUCUUGGGGCCAUCAAGUUAGAAAUGCAUUGUGCUCCUGGCAUGGCUCAAAGAGCCACUUGUGAACUACAGAUAUGUCUUUAUAUAAACCACCAUAUCUUCUUGUGUAUGGAAUACUAUUGUCAUGAUUCAUGUGUACCUUUUACCUUAUUUUAUGUGCAGAAUUAAUUGCACUUUCUGUGGAAAGGAAAUACAUUUUCAGUGGGGUUUUUAAAAAUUAAAUAGCAGGGAGCACAUAAACACUAAGCAAAACUACAUUACUAAGCAUCUGAAAAGCAGUUAAGAGUAUUAAAACCAUGAACUUCAGGAAAGUUAUCUGCCCCUCCAGGAUCCCCCAAAGUUGUUGUGCUAUAGGGUAUUACACUCUUCUGUCUCCUCUUUAUCACACUGGUGAUCUGGGGACACACAAAGGACAAAACCAAGAAGUUACUUUCCAAUUUACAAUGUUAACCUAGUGCAGUUGUCCUUUAGCCUUUUCCUUUAGGUCUUCUUUCUCACAGACUCUGUCCAGACCUAAACAAACCUGAAGCUACAAGAAUUUAAUCUUUCCAAAUUCUUCCUUGUUCCCUGAGCCUAAAGGCAGUUGUCUAAAGGCAGUUCUUUUCUGAUAACUCAAGGAGAAAUUUAUUAAACAUGGCAUGGAUUCCUAGAUAGCCAGGGAAAAAGCAGAGGGUACAAGACUGUGAACUGGGAGAGGCCUCAGGGGUUGUGUGUGUCUCCGUUAGGAAGGUUGAUGGCUGCUUUUGGUAUGGGGUGGCAAUGUGCAUGAGGCAAAUUAGUAAAUGGGCAUAUGUAGGGCUGCCCUCAGUUUGAAGGAUCUCACUGUCAAACUUGUUGCAAGCAGGCAAAACUGGAUUUUUUAAAAUGAGGAUAAGGACAGAGAAGGAAAAAUGCAUCCUAUUCCUCCAGAACACCAGGCCCUAGGCACAAGCACACUCCCUCCCAGUCUGAGCACCACCAGAGAGCUGUGUCAAUGAGCAAUCUUCAUGCUAAGGGACAGCAAUACUUCUGGUAUAAGUCAAUUUAAUUCAACCCAGUCAGUGUAAAGUACUACAGGAAAGCUGCAGAGAUUUCCCUAUAGCAACACUCAAAAUUGCUUUCCUUUAGCAAGUGUCUGAAUAGCCUGACCUCAGCAGUUUCCCUCAUAAUAAUGAUUUAUGCUGCCUCAAAACUGAGGGCACCAAUUAAACUGUAAGCCAGCAACACAUCUCUAGAAAUUUUCUUCCUCUGUUUACAGUAAGCACUUUUAGAAUAAAAGAACUUUACCUUCCAA